UAAUUCUUUUAUUAUUUAUUUAUUAAUUAAUUUUUAGUUAAUAAAUUUUAGUAUAAAAUAUAUAAGGGGAUAAGCUUUUAUUUAUAUAAUUAAAAAUAUUUUAAAUUUUUAUUUUUUGUAUAAUUUAAAUUGUUAGUCAUAUAAAUAAUUUAAUAGUUAAUUUUAUUGUAUUUAAGAUUUUUAUUUAUUUUAAUUUUUAUAUUUAAAAUAAUUGUUUAAUUUAAUAUCUUUUGUUAUUAUUAUUAAAUUAGUAGAUUAAUAUUUUAUUUAAUAUUUAAAUUUUUAGGUAAUAAAAAGGAACUCGGCAAAUAAAUUUUUCGCCUGUUUAUUAAAAACAUGUCUUUUUGAUUAUAAUUUAAAGUCUAAUCUGCUCAAUGAUUAAUUAAAUUGCCGCAGUAUCUUGACUGUGCAAAGGUAGCAUAAUAAUUAGCUUUUUUAUUGGAAGCUGGAAUGAAUGAUUGGACGAGAAAAUUUCUGUCUCUUUAUUAUUUUUAUUGAAUUUUACUUUUAAGUUAAAAGGCUUAAAUUUUUUUAAUAGACGAGAAGACCCUAUAGAGUUUAAUUUUUAAUAUUUAAUUUAUUAUUUGGAAUUUUUAAUAUUUUAUUUAGUAAAAAAUUUAGUUGGGGUGACUAAAAGAUUUAUUUAACUCUUUUAAUUAAUAUCAUUUAUUUAUGAAUAUAAAAUCUAUAUUUUUAAGUUUAAAAUAAAUUACCUUAGGGAUAACAGCGUAAUUUUUCUUUAGAGUUCUUAUUAAUAGAAAAGUUUGCGACCUCGAUGUUGGAUUAAAAAUUUAUUUUAGGUGUAGAAGCUUAAAAAUUAAGUCUGUUCGA
rnacentral:rRNA from 1 species